rnacentral:rRNA from 1 species
CGGUAAUUCCAGCUCCAAUAGCGUAUACUAAAGUUGUUGCAGUUAAAAAGCUCGUAGUUGGAUUUCUGCGGGGACGGAGCGGCCGGACGCAACUUGCGUCUCGAGCUAGCGCUUUCCCCGCAUCCUGCCGCGAACCGUGCUACCAUUAGCUUGGUGGCGCUGGGGAUCGGCUCGAUUACUUUGAGAAAAAUAGAGUGUUCAAAGCAGGCCACACGCCUUGAAUAAGUUAGCAUGGAAUAAUGACUAAGGACUUUGGUUCUUUUCGUUGGUGUUCGGGACUGAAGUAAUGAUUGAUAGGGACAGUUGGGGCGGUCUGUAUUCCAAAGCGAGAGGUGAAAUUCUUAGACCUUCGGAAGACAAACAGCUGCGAAAGCGUUCCGCAAGGAUGUUCCCUUUGAUCGAGAACGAAAGUUGGGGGAUCGAAGACGAUCAGAUACCGUCGUAGUCUCAACUAUAAACUAUACCAGCUAGGGAUCGGCCAACGUUUAAUUAUUCGACUUGGUCGGCACCUUAUGAGAAAUCAAAGCAUCUGGGUUCCGGGGGGAGUAUGGUCGCAAAGCUGAAACUUAAAGGAAUUGACGGAAGGGCACCACCAGGCGUGGAGCCUGUGGCUUAAUUUGACUCAACACGGGAAAACUUACCAGGUCCAGACAUAGGAAGGAUUGACAGAUUGAUAGCUCUUUCUUGAUUCUGUGGGUGGUGGUGCAUGGCCGUUUUUAGUCGGUGAAGUGAUUUGUCUGCUUAAUUGCGUUAACGGACGAGACCCCAGCCUGCUAAAUAGCGCGGCCGAGCUUUGCUCGGUGCGAGCUUCUUAGAGGGACCAUGAUGCGCGAUAGCACAAGGAAGUUUGGGGCAACAACAGGUCUGUGAUGCCCUUAGAUGUUCUGGGCCGCACACGGGCUACACUGGCGCCUGCAACGAGCAUAUCAGCUGGCCCGAGAGGGUCUUGGCUAAUCUUUGGAACCGGCGCCGUGCUUGGGAUUGACCAUUGCAAUUGUUGGUCAUGCAACGAGGAGUGCCUUGUAAACGCGAGUCAUCAGCUCGCAUUGAAUACGUCCCUGCCCUUUGUACACACCGCCCGUCGCUCCUACCGAUGAAUGUUCCGAUGAAAUUUUCGGAGAGCGCCGGAGAACGGGGCUCUGCCCUGCAGAACUGGAGGCUCAAAGUCACUUAAAUCUGAACAUUUCGAGGAAGGAGAAGUCGUAACAAGGUAGCCG